GGCAGAACUGCCAGGGAGUCAGUGAGAGAGACAAAGGCUUUGGGCCCAAGUGGGCGGGGCAGCAACCAACGGAGAGAAGAGACCUGUGUGGAGAAAGCACCACAGGCCAGCCAGGGCGCCAGCUCGCAGGUCAUGCAAGGAGACUGCUUGGCCUGCUCAUGCGCCAAAAGACUGGAACUCCCUGAUGGCUUUCAGGGAAGCGUUUUUAAAAGGCAAAGUGAUGGAGAAGGUCUCAGCAUGGAUAAUUUCAAUCCAUUUUCAAGUAAACCUUCCCUGGCAAUGAAGAUGUGACUUGCUCCCACGAAGACACCCACAGACUGUCUAAAUCUGGUGUCACCUCCAUCAAGUGGUGACAGGUUUGGAGAAAAAGUUAUAUUUAAUCACAAGUGACUCCAUGACUUUAUUUUUUAAACCUUGUAGAUUGAACCACUUUACUUCCUCCCUCUCCCCCACACGCUCACAAAAACACUUCUUGCUGAACUUUUACCCCCCAUCUGCCCACUCCCACCACCCAACAGACCCACCCGCAUCACAGAGAAAGGCAGCUUGCUCUUUAGUUCUCAGUAUGUAAUGGCUCCAGAGGUGGAAACUGUGAUCUGAGGUCAUCCAGGCUCCCAGUCAUGGUCACACAAGAACACAGUGCCACCUGAGCAUAGAGGACAGCUGGGCCUCAGUCCCAGAUGGACCCCGGCCUCCCGACCUGCCUUCCCUCCACGUGCAGCUGAGCACAGCUGGAGACACUGGGAGGGGGCUUGUGCAGGACACAUCAGCACACCCACGGCCAUCAGGACCGGGUCAGAGAUGCCCACCAAGGACCCCAUCCAGAGGCCUGGGGAAGGCAGAGUCGCACACCUGCAGGAAACUUGAGUUUUUCCCGCCGUCACUGUUCCUGUGGAGUUCUGGGCCCAGGGACAGGUCUGGUGACAGAAGAGAAUUAAAUUCUAAAUGUAGAGAAUUAAAUUCUAAAUGUGAUCCUCUGUGGUUCCAGACCCAAGUCCUCUCUCCUCACGGGUCCAGUGUGAGCUGAGCCCCACCAGCCUCCUGAUUCUCACAUUCCCAGUUUACAUUCAGCAUGUAAACCUGCGAGGCAGGUGAGGGAAACAUGCAAAGAGGACAUUGCUUUGCUGCUUUCAGCAAAAACACAAAGGAAAAAACUUGUGAAGUUACACAGAGAUCUGGAAUUAGAACGGCUUCAAAUUGAACAGAAAAUGUUCUCACAUCAUCCCCGUGGCCCAGGUAACAGGAGUCAGGAAGGUCUCAGUGGACAAUGCGCUCACAUGAGCUAUACACGUCCCCAGGCCAGUUCCUGCAUGUGGCAUUUACAGCUGCGAUGUCUCAGAGAGAUGGGUCCCAGGGAAGGUGGAAUGCAGGACAGAAAACAGAAGCAGAAAGAGGGGGGAGUGUAUGAAAACAACGGUGGCUAAGCCCUCCUGGGGCAGGACGGCCCAGGAAGAAGCCCAUCCCUGAAUGUGCUACAAAACCUUUCACUGUGGCUUCUGCCUGCCCCACCCUGUGCCAAAAUAAACCCCCAGGCCGUCCUGAAGAAGCAAGACCUUUCAUUUCACACACAAGUGGCAGCUCGUCCUGCUGCCCACGUUGACUGGCCAUUACAUGUCUUGGUGAUGCUGGGUCACUGUGAUGUGUCCUGGGGACAUAAGGAGGUGUCACUGUCAUGCAGUGGGACAUACGGGAAGAAGCUAUUGUAAUGGGGCCAGAGGACACCAUGAGGGAAACUGCCAGGGGGACAGAAACCCUGAGGGCCCUCAGGACACUGAAGCUCCAAGAGAUUAAAUAUCCCUCCUGAGGGUACCCAGCGAAUAGACAGAGCUGAGGUUUGAACACAGGCCAGAUGCUCCAGGGCCCGCACCCUCCCACUCACGAUAUGGGGAGCUCAUGGGCCAAGCA
ensembl:lncRNA